UUGAUGUUCUAACGUGGAUCCGUAAUCCGGGUUGCGGACAGUGUCUGGUGGGUAGUUUGACUGGGGCGGUCUCCUCCUAAAGAGUAACGGAGGAGCACGAAGGUUGGCUAAUCCUGGUCGGACAUCAGGAGGUUAGUGCAAUGGCAUAAGCCAGCUUGACUGCGAGCGUGACGGCGCGAGCAGGUGCGAAAGCAGGUCAUAGUGAUCCGGUGGUUCUGAAUGGAAGGGCCAUCGCUCAACGGAUAAAAGGUACUCCGGGGAUAACAGGCUGAUACCGCCCAAGAGUUCAUAUCGACGGCGGUGUUUGGCACCUCGAUGUCGGCUCAUCACAUCCUGGGGCUGAAGUAGGUCCCAAGGGUAUGGCUGUUCGCCAUUUAAAGUGGUACGCGAGCUGGGUUUAGAACGUCGUGAGACAGUUCGGUCCCUAUCUGCCGUGGGCGCUGGAGAACUGAGGGGGGCUGCUCCUAGUACGAGAGGACCGGAGUGGACGCAUCACUGGUGUUCGGGUUGUCAUGCCAAUGGCACUGCCCGGUAGCUAAAUGCGGAAGAGAUAAGUGCUGAAAGCAUCUAAGCACGAAACUUGCCCCGAGAUGAGUUCUCCCUGAGACUUAGAGUCUCCUGAAGGAACGUUGAAGACGACGACGUUGAUAGGCCGGGUGUGUAAGCGCAGCGAUGCGUUGAGCUAACCGGUACUAAUGAACCGUGAGGCUUAACCUU
rnacentral:rRNA from 1 species